rnacentral:rRNA from 1 species
AUUGAACGCUGGCGGCAGGCCUAACACAUGCAAGUCGAGCGGAUGAAGGGAGCUUGCUCCUGGAUUCAGCGGCGGACGGGUGAGUAAUGCCUAGGAAUCUGCCUGGUAGUGGGGGAUAACGUCCGGAAACGGGCGCUAAUACCGCAUACGUCCUGAGGGAGAAAGUGGGGGAUCUUCGGACCUCACGCUAUCAGAUGAGCCUAGGUCGGAUUAGCUAGUUGGUGGGGUAAAGGCCUACCAAGGCGACGAUCCGUAACUGGUCUGAGUGGAUGAUCAGUCACACUGGAACUGAGACACGGUCCAGACUCCUACGGGAGGCAGCAGUGGGGAAUAUUGGACAAUGGGCGAAAGCCUGAUCCAGCCAUGCCGCGUGUGUGAAGAAGGUCUUCGGAUUGUAAAGCACUUUAAGUUGGAAGGAAGGGCAGUAAGUUAAUACCUUGCUGUUUUGACGUUACCAACAGAAUAAGCACCGGCUAACUUCGUG